UAUAUUACUGACCGUGAAAUAACCUACAGUUUGUUUUUCAGGAUUUUGUGUUAAUAUUGUGUAUUUUAACUUUGUUAUAUUAUUUAUUAUCUACUAUUGUAAUGAUGGAAUUUGUUAUCGUUUUGAUAUUUUGUGUGGUUCUUGUGAUUGCUGUAAUGGUAAUUGGUUCCGGAAUGGGGAAAGCUACUUCUUCGCAGCGUCAGAUGGACAUCAUUAACGUCGCUCAGAACUUAUAUGUUUUAAUUAGGAAAGGCGACUUGAAGAAAUGUGACGUUACGCAGACGACCGCGUUUCUUCUCAACAUCGCAAAGUCAACUGUUCUCAAGUACUACAAGAAAGACAUUGAAGAAGUUUCAACACCAGGAAAAAAGUGGAAAAAAAGGCCACAGGAAGGAAAGUCACUUGACACAGUCGACGAUUUCACAGUAAAUGCAAUCAGGAAUGCAAUUUACAGGAUGUACGCUGAAGGUUUGAAUGUUACAGUCGACACCAUUUUGAAAGAAAUCAGGGAAAGACGAAUAGAUUAUUAUGGUGGAAGAUCAAGUCUUCAUAAAUUGUUAAAGAAGAUGGGAUUUUCAUGGACAACUGUUGAUGGACGAAAAGCUUUGAUAGAGAAUGAAAACAUAGUAUUGAAGCGAAUAGAUUUCUUGAGAAAGUAUAAAGAAGAAAAAGAAAGAGGUGCCAAUUUCAUAUUUGUUGAUGAAACAUGGAUUUUCCAGAGAAGCAAGGCAUUAAUUUAUUUGAAAAUUUGUUCUGUGGUCCAAUACAAAGUAUUUCAUUUCCAUUUCAUAUAUUUUUCAGGAACUGUAUCAAAGUCAUGGCAGGACAAGAGUCUACAAUCUGAGAAGAGACGUACUGUUGGAGAUGGUAAAAGGUUUAUUGUUGUUAAUGCUGGAGGGCGCACUGGCUUUGUGCCAGGAGCAGGAUUACUUUUUGUUUCAGGUCAGAAGACUGCAGACUACCAUGGCGAGAUGAAUGGGGAAACUUUCUUGAUGUGGUUUGAAGACAUGUUGGUGCAUCUGGAGGAACCCAGUGUCAUUAUAAUGGACAAUGCUUCAUAUCACAGCACCCAGGUUGAGAAAACACCUACAACGAACUGGACCAAGGAUGCACUGAUCGCGUGGCUGGAGAAGAAUGAGAUAAAACAUGAAAAUAAUUUGUUGAAAGUGGAGCUGCUGAGAAUAGCUAAACAAAACAAGCCCCGAAUACGGUAUAUUAUUUCGUUUUUUUUACAGCAUUUCUUUAAAAGUGAGAUAGUUGCAAAAAAUUACGUAUACGCCUUGUUCUAACACACUUUUCAGAUAUGAGGUAGACGAGUUGGCUUGUAACUAUGGCCACACAAUUCUACGACUCCCACCCUAUCACUGCCACUAUAAUGCAAUCGAACUAGUUUGGGCUCAAUGUAAACACCAUUACAAUAGUAACGUGGGGCGGGCCAAGAGAUUUGACAAUGAUGCAGUUGCAGCCAUCUGGAAAGAGGCUCUUGAUGCUUCCACACCAGAGAGAUGGGCGAGGUGUGUGGAUCACGUGGAGAAGCUAAUUCAAGCAGACUGGGAGAGAGAAGUCCACAUAGACAGCGGCACCAUUCCUCCACUCAUCAUCCACCUCGGCGAGGAUAGUUCAAGUGAAGACAGUGACAGCGAAGAAUUUGAGGUUACGACACAGCAAGUAGAUGGAGACAGUGAAGUACUGGCAGUUCCUCUUGAUGAUUUACCCGGGUGUUCUUAUUGAGGUCUGUAUGUAAUAAACACCUGGGCAACUGUAAGUAUUGGGGUUUGAAACAUUUUUUUUUCUUUUAUGCAUUCCCAUUAAGUAUGUUGAUUACUGGAACUUUAUGUAUUAACUUUAUAUUACACAUAUUAUAAAAUUAAUAAUAAAUUUCAUUUCUGGAUUCGUAUAGGUGUAUGUGAAACAUUUUAUUUUGUUGUGUCUCUUCAUUUUUCAGUGAACUUACUUGGAAAACAAAAAGCCAGUCCCCAUCCAGGGCCACAAAUAAAUAAUGCAUAUAAGUGGUAUAGAAAUUACUGUCAAUUCUUUACCACAAUUUUACUGUUCAUAAAAUUAUGAUUUUGUCUAAUAAGUAUACUCAGGAAAAUGUAUAUAACCAUAUUUUUAUUUGUGGCCUUAACCGGCAAAAUGGUAGGGGUUUAAUAAUAAAAGA